GGAAAACUCAAUAGCGACCCUGAUGCCGUGAUCCUUAGAUUGUUUGACCCAGAAGAAGAUCCGAAUUUAUUGGCAUACCCUCCACCAAGCGAGACAGAGGCGUUCCCAGCUGGAGUCGACGUUGAUGAAGCAAAGGGAUCUUUAACUCCGCCCUUGACUCCGCCGGUCCUCUUCAUCGCACGUCCGGCGGCGCGUAGCAUCCCUCUUCCGGCGGCGCCUAACACCCCUCUGCCGGCGGCGCGUAGCAUCCCGCUGCCGGCUGCGCGUAGCAUCCCUCUUCCUCUAUCUAACAUGAGACAGUUGAACUUGCGUUAUUCCGACAGGUUUCGUAAGUUUUACGUUAACUCGGUGAACAGUUUUUUUUCUUUUGGUCUACCGGUUCGGAUCAAUUAAACAGUUGUUGUUGUAAUGAAUGGCUCUGUUUUGAGUUUGCUUGUGUCUUAGGUUUCUUCGUACAGUUUGAUGAUUUCCAGGAGACAGAUCAGGUUAUAUAUACACAAUGUUCUUUAAGGAUUUUCUCAGAAUAUUUUGACUUUCCUUGAUUUUCUUUGCUUUGUUUUGCUUGAUCCUUCUUCUCCACGACAACGCUUACCAUUUCUCUGUUUUCUAUUGCAUUCAAUUCAAUUAAUACUCAUAAAAGUAGUUUCCCAUAGUAUAAUUGCAUUAACAGAAAAAAAUUAACACAGAAUUAAAAUUAAUAUUGUUUGAAAUCUGAAGUUUUAUGCAUAAAAGUUGGGAAUUUGAAUAUUGUACUCAACAGCAGGAAAACACGAAAACCAAUUUGAAAUCCAGAAGACAUUUCGUAAGGGAAAGGGAAAACCAACAUUGAAGACUUUUUCUCUGCUUUUUACUCGAGGUAACUCUCUAUAAUGCUUGUUCUCUACGUCUUUGGUUACUUGCUAGUGAAUUAAUUGGUUAGAAUAUGAAUGCUAGGGAACAAUCCGGUUUACAGUUUUGGUUUAUCAAUCCGGAAACAGCACAUUGAACCGCAUUGUUUUUGUAGUCACGGUUCAGAACAUACCAUCUCUUAGUGCGACGAGCCAUGUGGUCAUACAGUUUGGUUGUUACUCAAAAAGGAAAAAGAAGCUAGGCAGACCAAACAUAAGUUGGACGAACAAGACUUCUCGAUAUAGACGUCACAACUUACAAACAAGGCAAAGAAAGUACAGCAAAAGGUUUACAAUUUACCACAAAGAGAAUAACACAACAAAACAUGGUACCAUUUGACAAGAGAAACACACUUGCACAUUAUUUAUAACAAAAAGAAAAAAAAACUGAUGAUAUAUGCUUCCCCUUUUAUUACCCACCCUGAUCAAAUUCUAAACACCUUAUUCUAACUUUGAAACUAUUUAAGAGUUCUAUCGCGAGCUUUAUUAUCUUCUUCAACACUUCCGUGGCCUUAACCACGGUGCUGUCAAAUACCCAUUUUAUGAAAUCUGUUGGUGUGUUAUUCUUCCGUGGAGUGUCAUCUGAGCUCUCAUCACCUGAACUCUCAUCAUCUGAACUCUCCUCGUCUGUUAAUAUAGAGAAAGACAGAACAAGCCAAUGAGAACUUUCUCAAACAAAAGGCUUUAAAUUAAUACUAAUACCUUGAUUAAUGCCAUUGUAGUACAAAUCCUUAAUCUCUUGCACCACCUCGUUGUUCCUCACUGCCUUCCACACUGCUUUGUCAGAUGACAAUGAUAACACCAUUCUCUGCACAAAACGUUAUUCAGGUACACAUUGUGUUUCUAUUUAGGGUUUAUGAAUACUUAACAAAAUAAGACACAGAAACUUGAGCUUAGUGAAUCAAGAAAACAUAAUAAAAAAAAAGAUCACCUGGACGGAUGGCUCGGUUCGUAGUAGGUCAAAAGCAUUGUAAACGUGAUCAUAAGCAUGAGGCUGUAAGAUUCUUGAAUGACAUAGUUCCAUUGAAGGCUCCACCCAGUCCAACUCCGUCCCAAACGAAGGAACUUGAUGAACCAUUCCUGUGGGCAUGGGACUCUGGUUUCCACCACCAUCGAAUACCCUUUAAAACAAGAAUCAACAGUUACGCAUAUUCCCAUAAGCAAGAAAGCAGGUUUUGAAGAUUAAUAAUAAUAAACAAAGACAAUGAUGCAGUUGAACUAGCAAACAACUUUUCAAAGUAGUUUAAGUUCAGGUACUAGGAAUGAUUGGUUAAAUUGAUACUAAUUCCGGAAACAAACAAAACGAAAUAGACUUGGAUAGAGCUUCCAUCUUAUUUUAAUUCAUCAAAUCAAAGACAAUUCAAUCACACUCAGAGGAAAGAAAUAGGGGAAAAAAAAGAAGUUAACUUUGAAAAUAAUCCAUCAAAGCCAAGACAAUUCUCGUGAGUAUUAAAAUAUCUAUCCACCACUUAAAGCUCAUCCACAUGUCUGAGAUUUUUUUUUUUUUCUUUUUGAACACAAUUUUAUGAGAUUAAUUGUCAAUUCUAAUCAUUGAUACAAGUUUCAAAACUCAAAUAGUCUCAUCCAUAUAACCAAACACAUUACUUUCAAGUGUGUAGAAAAAUUAAGAGACGGAAGAGAAAAAAAAUGAUUACUGCUUGAGAGCAGAAACAGCAUCUUCAACUUCAUCAACAGAAGGAACAGAGCCAAAAACAGAAUCAUCAUCUUCUUCUUCUUCGUCGGUUCCUUCCACCGUAACCCACUCAAAGUCUUCAUAAGCGCCGUAACUGUUAAACGAAAAAGCGCCACCGCUCCAUGAUCUGGAGGUUGCAGCCACCGGAAAACUCAAUAGCGACCCUGAUGCCGUGAUCCUUAGAUUGUUUGACCCAGAAGAAGAUCCGAAUUUAUUGGCAUACCCUCCACCAAGCGAGACAGAGGCGUUCCCAGCUGGAGUCGACGUUGAUGAAGCAAAGGGAUCUUUAACUCCGCCCUUGACUCCGCCGGUCCUCUUCAUCGCACGUCCGGCGGCGCGUAGCAUCCCUCUUCCGGCGGCGCCUAACAACCCUCUGCCGGCGGCGCGUAGCAUCCCGCUGCCGGCUGCGCGUAGCAUCCCUCUUCCUCUAUCUAACAUGAGACAGUUGAACUUGCGUUAUUCCGACAGGUUUCGUAAGUUUUACGUUAACUCGGUGAACAGUUUUUUUUCUUUUGGUCUACCGGUUCGGAUCAAUUAAACAGUUGUUGUUGUAAUGAAUGGCUCUGUUUUGAGUUUGCUUGUGUCUUAGGUUUCUUCGUACAGUUUGAUGAUUUCCAGGAGACAGAUCAGGUUAUAUAUACACAAUGUUCUUUAAGGAUUUUCUCAGAAUAUUUUGACUUUCCUUGAUUUUCUUUGCUUUGUUUUGCUUGAUCCUUCUUCUCCACGACAACGCUUACCAUUUCUCUGUUUUCUAUUGCAUUCAAUUCAAUUAAUACUCAUAAAAGUAGUUUCCCAUAGUAUAAUUGCAUUAACAGAAAAAAAUUAACACAGAAUUAAAAUUAAUAUUGUUUGAAAUCUGAAGUUUUAUGCAUAAAAGUUGGGAAUUUGAAUAUUGUACUCAACAGCAGGAAAACACGAAAACCAAUUUGAAAUCCAGAAGACAUUUCGUAAGGGAAAGGGAAAACCAACAUUGAAGACUUUUUCUCUGCUUUUUACUCGAGGUAACUCUCUACAAUGCUUGUUCUUUACGUCUUUGGUUACUUGCGAGUGAAUUAAUUGGUUAGAAUACGAAUCCUAGGGAACAACCCGGUUUCCAGUUCUGGUUUAACAAUCCGGAAACAGCACAUUGAACCGCAUUAUUUUUGUAGUCACGGUUCAGAACACACCAUCUCUUAGUGCGACGAGCCAUGUGGUCAUACUGUUUAGUACUAACUCAAAAAAGGAAAAAGAAGCUAGGCAGACCAAACAUAAGUUGGACGAACAAGACUUCUCCAUAUAGACGUUACAACUUACAAACAAGGCAAACAAAGUACAUCAAAAGGUUUACAAUAUACCACAAAGAGAAUAACACAACAAAACAUGGUACCAUUUGACAAGAGAAACACACUUGCACAUUAUUUAUAAAAAAAAAAAAAAAAAAAAAACUGAUGAUAUUGGCUUCCCCUUUUUAUUACCCAACCUGAUCAAAUUUAAACACCUUAUUCCUCACGAACUAGACUCCUCGACAUCGACAUUACUAUGGCGUGAUUUAUGUAGUAUUGUGGAAAGUGAUUUAUGUAGUAUUGUGAUGGGUUCCACGGGUACGGUCACGGUCAUGCUCCCCACCUGUAUGUUGUUGUCCAUAGUACUGAGCUCUAUCUUUAAUAUCCUGAGCUUUGCUUCCCAGCUUCAUCCUUGCACUGUCCAGCUUAUCUGACCCCUGUGGGUGCUCUCCCGUUGCGUACCUAUUCAUCACACACACAUACAUUAAAAAGAGAACGUUUAUGUUCAUUUAGCCAAAACUUAUACUGUAAUUUGGCAACUCCAAAUUUUUUGAUCCAAAGAUAGUGGUCGGAUACAUAUAAGCACACAUGAACACUUUAGAUUUUAUUCAUUAAUAUUUAAUUUAUGUAUAUAAGCUCUAAUGCAUACAUGCACACAUAAACACUUACGAUUUUUAUUCAUUAGAUGUUUAUAUGUAUAUAUGCUUUAAGUUUUAUUGUCCUCUCAUGGCAUAUAUGAUUAUUGGUAAAUAUCAUCCUUUUUUUGGUAAAAUUGUUAAGAUUGAUACCAAGAUUGUGGCAAGCCACUUAUUACCUUAAGAUUUAUGUUUAUGUUAAAUAUCAUCUUUCAGUUAAGACCUUUUGGUAACAUGCAGAUAUACAUAAAACAAAAAUUAAAAAUUUAUAUCUAUGAUAAAAAAUUUGCUUACUUAUAGAUCCAGGAGAAGACGGUUAUAGCUGCAAUGCCAAACCCACCAGAGGAGAGAAAGCCAGUGAUGAGAAGUGCUACGGUGAUGAGAGCCGGCACGAGGAUUGGGCUAAAGAUAACAAGCAGAGGAGUGGCAACAGUCAAAGCAAUGACUGUUCCGACAAGGGUGAGACUGGAGAGGACAAGAAGGGACCCUCCAGCGGUGACUGCGGUAGCAGCUUUAGCAAUCUGCCUAGUCUUGGAGUAGUCUUGGCUGGAGGUCUGGUAAUCUGAUCGUCCGUAAGGAUACUGGUCUCGGUCUCGGCCCAACAAGGGGUACUGGUCACGGCUGGUGAUAUCGUGAUGGGUUCUAGCAGUAUCCGCCAUUAUGCUAUUGUUGAAGAGAUAGAUGAGUUUAUGUUUUGGAGUAGCUAUGAUUGUUGAAUUGAUUAGAUAUAUGAAGGGAAGGGAAGGGGAAAGAGAGUCAUGUGUCAAUGGCGUCAUCAUGCAAUAGUAGCCACGUGUUGGUGGCGUCACCAUGCAGACGCUGCAUGUGUAAACGAGAGGGGUCUACUUGAGGACACGUUCGUGUCUUUGUCUCGUUCCUGUGAAUGUGGCGUUGGCAAUGAACCGAACGUAAAGUAAAAAAAAACGGACCAUUGGGCUGGUUAUUUUGGUGGGUUCAGGGCUUUCAAGGCCUUUCCAUGAGUUUCUUCUUAACAACAAAAAGUCAAACAUCGAACGUAAACCCAAGACUAUUUUUGAGCAUACCAUAAAGUUGCAUAUUACAUUUAACCUGUUCUUUUGGUGAACGCCACAAUCAGCGGCUGCGUCUUAAAAUUUAAACCAUCACCACCGCAAAACACAGCACAACACAACACUCAUGAAACAACGCCAGCUUGCUUUUCUUGACGCUGCGGCUGAUCGCGAUGACUAAAACAAACGCAUAAUAUUUCAGCGUCAGCUGCUUCCCAUAUUUCGUACAUCCGGCUGUUUAUUAGCGUCCAUUUUAAUCUUCCGUGCCGUUGAAUUUGCCUUCGUCUGCACUAUAAUUUUUAGUCGCUGCCGCAACUAGCGGCGUUCACCAAAAGAACAGAACUAUUGAGUACAAUAACAAGGAAGAACUAUAUCAAGAUACCAUAUCAAGAUUCCCAGCAAAGAGAUCUUGAAGAAGAUGAGAUGGAAGAAAAUUUGUUACGAAUGUAUAAAAUUUCUCAUUAAUUAAAAUUGUACAGUAUGUUCAGUAUAUAUACUCUAAUACAAUCUCGCUAACAUAAGCUGAUACACCUUUGCUUGUUGUUCGUUUCACCUUGGAAACCAGUGAACUCACUCAUCAAAGUCCCUGAAAUUUCAACUAUUCCAGUUUGGGUAAACCUCAAAAUGUCCCGGAUUGUUGCUACUCAAGAUUAGGCCUCAGUCACGUUGUAUCAGGAGUUGGUGAGCCUAUGCAAACGCACAAACCUCGCCUUGAUCCGAAUACUUUGGGAGAAGCAAAGUUACUAGUUGAAAUAGAACUUGACAAACCCUUCCCGAAGCAAAUUGCCUUGGAUUACAAACAAGGUAAUAUAUUUCUGGUGGAUGUUGAAUACACUUGGAUUCCGAGUAUGUGUAGCAGAUGUCGACAGUUAGGGCAUAAAGAAAAGAGAUGCCUCCUGCCAGCUCCCCAAACGUGUGUGGAUAUGGAUACAUGCUUUACUGUGGAUAUGUCAAAUGGAGCACCAGAGAUUGAUACUGAAAAGGAACAAGAUCAGAUCAAUGUUGUAUCAGAUGAAGAGAUGGUACAAGUUGAAAACUCAGAAACGGAAACACAAGAUGGUGUUGAGCCAAAGGAUCAUUUAAUGCCACCAAGCUGCCCCACACACUCUCCGGUAACAAUAGCCACAUGCUCCAACUCUCAGUCGACUUUACCUCCAUCAGCAGGUUUUUUGUCUCUUCGGAUAGCUACUUCUCAAAAGGAUAGCUCUACUUUUUUCUAUCAUUCAUCUUCGGAUGCCAAAUCUACUUUAGCCUCUACACUAGCAGGUUCGUCAUCUGCUCACACUUCUCUACAGAUUAUGGACGAUGUUCCAUCAGAUAUUAUCAUUAAUGAGGGUAUUACACACUCAAGAAAUGAUCUUUUAACCAUGACCUUUAUUUCAACCGAGUCCAACCAAGAGGUUGGUGGUAUGGAAAGUGAUUUUCAUAUUACCGAAAAAAUGGAUGAAUUUGGAAGUGUGACAAGAAGGGGUAGGUUGAUCAAGCCUACACAAAAGUACCAAGGAAUGGAAUGGAUGACAAUGCGUGGAAGAGGGAAACGAGGCCGCAUGGUCGAGGUUCCUAAAUCAAGUGCACAAGUAUCCUUUUUAGUUUGGUCAAACUAAAGAGUAUUAUUACUAAGUUCUUGGUUUAAUAGCUCUUUCAUUGCUUACUUUAUGUAUCCAACUUUCUCAAACUAUGUGAUCUAACAAAUCACAUCUUGUAACUUGUCUUUUUAAAUUGAAUGCCCUUUUUCAAAAAAAAAACAUAAGCUUUAUAUGUACACCACUUAUACACACAUGUUGCUAACCUACACCAGUGAGCUGAUACACCUUUGAUAGAACAUGGCCUGAAGAAUAAUCAGCAUAUGAAUAAUAAUAAUAUUAUAACGGUGACAUUUUCCAACUCUACAAUGGAACAGCUUCAGUGAGUUGUCUCAUCCAAUCGUAACUUCCAGAAAAAGAAAUGUAACAAACUGUCUAAUAUAGGAAAAAUAAAUGCUUUGAAACUAAGAAAGAUCAGAAGGACAGAAGAGAAAAAAAAUGAUUACUGCUUGAGAGCAGAAACAGCAUCUUCAACUUCAUCAACAGAAGGAACAGAGCCAAAAACAGAAUCAUCAUCUUCUUCUUCUUCGUCGGUUCCUUCCACCGUAACCCACUCAAAGUCUUCAUAAGCGCCGUAACUGUUAAACGAAAAAGCGCCACCGCUCCAUGAUCUGGAGGUUGCAGCCACCGGAAAACUCAAUAGCGACCCUGAUGCCGUGAUCCUUAGAUUGUUUGACCCAGAAGAAGAUCCGAAUUUAUUGGCAUACCCUCCACCAAGCGAGACAGAGGCGUUCCCAGC
rnacentral:lncRNA from 1 species